UGCCCUGUAGCGUAAUGGCUAUCGCACUUGACUCUGGAUCAAGGAAUUUCAGGUUCGAAUCCUGACAGGGCAG
rnacentral:tRNA from 1 species